AGGACGAACGCUGGCGGCGUGCUUAACACAUGCAAGUCGAGCGGAAAGGCCCUUCGGGGUACUCGAGCGGCGAACGGGUGAGUAACACGUGAGCAACCUGCCCUUAGCUCCGGGAUAGCUCCGGGAAACCGGAAUUAAUACCGGAUACGACCUAGGCCGACAUCGGCCAUGGUGGAAAGUUUUUCGGCUAGGGAUGGACUCGCGGCCUAUCAGCUAGUUGGUGGGGUAAAGGCCUACCAAGGCGACGACGGGUAG
rnacentral:rRNA from 1 species